CCCUCACAUGUUGAUAUUUGGAAUCCUAAAAACAAUACAAUUUUGUAUUCUCUAUUUUAGAAUUCCACAUGAAUGGUUUACAGUGUUGGUGAAAUGGUCUGUAUAAUACCACAAAAGGACUUCUUAAAACCAACAAACUGAUAUUGAUCAGUGAAUUUGCUUCUUCAGUGACCUCUAUGGGCAGAAAUCUGAGUCACGUGAACAAGGAGUGCUCAGAAUUGUUGAGAUCCGAAGACCAAAAUGAUCUUUUGUACUGCAAGGUGCUAACACUUGAUAUAGAUGAAAAUCUACAUAAACCAACGUAUCUGUCUGCAACAGGACUGUCCCGGUGGGGAUAUGGCUCGUGGACAGCAGAAGAUUCAGUCUCAGCAGAAAAAUGCCAAAAAGCAAGCUGGACAAAGGAUGAAACAAGGAUAUGA
rnacentral:lncRNA from 12 species